GUGGAUGUAGCUCAGUGGUAGAGCACCUGGUUGUGGUCCAGGCGGCCGCGGGUUCGAUCCCCGUCAUCCACC
rnacentral:tRNA from 2 species